rnacentral:rRNA from 1 species
AUUGAACGCUGGCGGCAGGCCUAACACAUGCAAGUCGAACGGUAACAGGGAUCAGCUUGCUGAUUCGCUGACGAGUGGCGGACGGGUGAGUAAUGUCUGGGAAACUGCCUGAUGGAGGGGGAUAACUACUGGAAACGGUAGCUAAUACCGCAUAACGUCGCAAGACCAAAGAGGGGGACCUUCGGGCCUCUUGCCAUCGGAUGUGCCCAGAUGGGAUUAGCUAGUAGGUGGGGUAACGGCUCACCUAGGCGACGAUCCCUAGCUGGUCUGAGAGGAUGACCAGCCACACUGGAACUGAGACACGGUCCAGACUCCUACGGGAGGCAGCAGUGGGGAAUAUUGCACAAUGGGCGCAAGCCUGAUGCAGCCAUGCCGCGUGUAUGAAGAAGGCCUUCGGGUUGUAAAGUACUUUCAGCGGGGAGGAAGGGAGUAAAGUUAAUACCUUUGCUCAUUGACGUUACCAGCAGAAGAAGCACCGGCUAACUCCGUG